rnacentral:rRNA from 1 species
GACGAACCGUGCGAACGUUGUUCGGAAUCACUGGGCAUAAAGGGCGCGUAGGCGGCUUUUCAAGUCAGGGGUGAAAUCCGGCAGCUUAACUGUCGAAGUGCCCUUGAUACUGAUGAGCUCGAGGGAGAUAGGGGUGUGUGGAACUUCCGGUGGAGCGGUGAAAUGCGUUGAUAUCGGAAGGAACGCCGGUGGCGAAAGCGACACACUGGAUCUCUUCUGACGCUGAGGCGCGAAAGCCAGGGGAGCAAACGGG